GGACAAUGGUCAAGUCAGACCCUCCUAGUUUCACAUUCCAGGUUUCUCUACUAGCUGUAACACCUUGAACAAGUUAAUUAAACUUACUGAACCUUUCUUUCUCCAUCUUUACAACAGGAAUAGCAAGGGCUGCUAUGUAGGAUUAUUGUGAGAAUUUAAUAAAACAAUGUAUGUCAAGUCUUUUGAGUAGUGCCUGGUAUAUAGUAAAAACACAAAAAAUAUUGACAUCAUCAUCGUCAUUAUCAUCUGGUCCUGGUAGGUAUGAUCUGUGAGCAGAAAUUAUUUUUUAGUAGUUAAUCCAUGACUUAGGUAAUUUAAAUAAUUAUUACUAGACUAGCCAGACCCAGUUAUGUUUGAUUUUGAAUCUUCACUUGUUUUUCCUAGAGCUAUGAAAAAUAAGCCACACAAACUGCACCACCCUAUUUGGCUUUGGGGAUGGGAUCAGACUAGUAAGAACAUGUGCACAUUUGUAUGAUGUCUCCUGGAUCUCAAACACCUCCCAUAAGUCUCAGCCUUACUGAAGAUCCUAAAGCUAUGGAAAAGAAGCUAUAAAUAACCAGAGAGAUUUGUAGAUAAAUAUAGUUGGACCUAGACAUCUGGAGUGGCUCUUCAAGAGGCACCAAGUAUAUGUAUAAAUAGGACAUCAUUCCUGCCUUCAAAAAGUAUGCAGUAUGUGCAUCUUGGGCUGAAGAUACAACGUAAGCAAAGGCACAGAGUUCCAUAGGUAUGUGGCAAGGAUCUCUGCUGGGGAGGACUCAGCUUCGUCUCCUUACCAGCUGCACAUCAGGGUACCACCAUAUGUUCACCCCUCUGCAGUGCCGUGCAAUGCCACUGAAAUGUGAGGCAAAAGAAAACAUCUGUAGUACUG
rnacentral:lncRNA from 1 species